rnacentral:rRNA from 1 species
UACGUAGGGUGCAAGCGUUGUCCGGAAUUAUUGGGCGUAAAGAGCUCGUAGGCGGUCUGUCGCGUCUGCUGUGAAAACUCAGGGCUUAACCCUGAGCUUGCAGUGGGUACGGGCAGACUAGAGUGGCGGUAGGGGAGACUGGAAUUCCUGGUGUAGCGGUGAAAUGCGCAGAUAUCAGGAGGAACACCGGUGGGCGAAGGCGGGUCUCUGGGCCGUAACUGACGCUGGAGGAGCGAAAGCG